AAACUGCUUGUCGAGAAAGAACGUCAUCUGCCUCAUACAUUUUAGCUUUAGCCACAAUUAGCUAGUCGUUCAAAUCACAGAUAGCCUUACAUUUUGAAACGACUGUUGUUCGUUAACAACCACGUAGCGGUUGUUAUUUUUUGCGCGUCCUGUGUCUACAGUGCCAAACAUGUAUGUAGAAGCCUUAUUCCGACGCAGGGACAUACUGAAAGCCGAGCUGGUCGUGUGAAAUGCAGGCUAGCCUGAUCAGAGCUAGCUGACGAGCAAAGGGGGGCCGAGAAGCGAAAGUGGCUAACCUUAACGAGAGAUAAGCCUAUCACAACACGCCUGGGUACUUUUAACAAACCUGCCAACUGAAGCCACAAGACAAGGACCGAUAUAGCAAGUUCGUAAAGAGACAGAGCCAUGGGUGCGUUCCUGGACAAGCCCAAGACGGAGAAGCACAACUUACACGGCGAGGGAAAUGGCCUUCGCUUCGGACUCAGCUCCAUGCAGGGCUGGCGGGUGGAGAUGGAGGACGCUCAUACAUCUGUGUUGGAACUUCCUGCUCCUGGAAUGACUGACUGGUCCUUUUUCGCUGUGUACGAUGGUCAUGCUGGAUCAAGGGUCGCCAACUACUGCUCUAAGCACCUUCUAAAACACAUAAUCAGUGCCAGCUUAGAGGCUGGAGCGUCACAAAGCGGUUCAGAUAGCUCCAACAACGACCACCCAGCCUCAGUUCCUCCUACAGUGGAGGCUGUGAAAGCUGGCAUCCGGACAGGCUUCCUGAGGAUUGAUGAGCACAUGCGUAGCUCCUCUGACCUUCGCAAUGGCAUGGACCGAAGUGGCUCUACAGCAGUGGGAGUCCUCCUGUCCCCGGAUCAUUUCUUCUUCAUUAACUGUGGGGAUUCCCGAGCAGUUUUAUACCGCAAUUCACAUGUGUGCUUCUCCACACUUGACCACAAGCCUUGCAACCCUCGUGAGAGAGAGCGGAUCCAGAAUGCAGGCGGCUCAGUGAUGAUUCAGAGGGUUAACGGGUCACUGGCCGUAUCCCGGGCCUUGGGGGACUACGAUUACAAGUGCGUGGAAGGCAAGGGCCCAACAGAGCAGCUGGUCAGUCCAGAACCGGCUGUGUUUGAGAUGGUUCGGGCCCCAGAACAGGACCAGUUUGUGGUCCUAGCAUGUGAUGGCAUCUGGGAUGUCAUGUCCAACGAGGAGCUGUGCGAGUUUGUGAAAUCUAGACUUGAGGUGUCUGAUGACCUGGAGAGGGUCUGCAAUGAAGUAGUGGACACCUGCCUGCACAAGGGGAGUCGGGAUAACAUGAGUGUUGUGUUAGUGUGUUUGGCCAGCGCUCCCAAAGUGUCAGAGGAAGCCAUGAGGAAAGACGCUGAACUCAACAAAUACCUGGAGUCUCGAGUGGAAGAGAUGCUGUCUCGGCCAGGAGAGGAGGGGUUUCCGGACCUGGUAACAGUGAUGAGGAACCUUUCCACCGACAGUGGCAUGCCCACCCUGCCACCAGGGGGAGGCCUGGCAAGCAAACGCAGUGUUAUUGAAGCAGUUUACAACCGUCUAAACCCAUACAAGGAGGAAGAUGGGUGGUCUCUGAAAACCCGUUAUGAUAUUUUGAAUGAUCCCGUCUGGUGGACCAGACAGCCAAUUUGUGUGUAAGCUUCACUCUCCAAAACCGCAGCCGAUGAAGUAUUUAAAGUGACUUCAGAGAUGGCUGUGAGCUCACCUCACCCUUCCAAAUGGAGCAGAUUUGGAGUGCCACUGGUAGCUUCCCAGCACAACUGCCUGACCCAAACAGAAAAAAAGAAAAGAAAAAAAAACAGGACCACUUUCCACACAAGAUCACAUCCAUAGUCACCUUUUAAUUUCCUCUGGGAUCUUUUUUUAUUUUUCACCCACACUGAGCGAUCAAUCAAAGACGAAAUCCUGCUUUUAAAACAAAACAACACACCCGUUGUGGAGGACUCACAAUCGGUUUCAUUUGUUCUUUUUGUAGAAUACAACAGGGAAAUAAAAAGGAAGAACUGAAGUGAUGUUCUGAGAGCAGUACUACAUAUACCAUAUAGUGAUCAGAGAAGAGGCAAAUGAGCACAGAUUUCUAUUGGCUCUUGUUUUUUAUUGCUUACUUUGUGGUGGUUGUUUUUGUGUUGGAUUGACGGAGACUCUGCUUUGAACGCUUUGGUGCUCGUCUAAGAACUGAGAGAGAGAGAGAGAGGGGGAGAGAGACACAACCCAACAGCUGCUCAGCAAGUCAUUACUAAACCAGCUACUUAUGGAUAAGAUGCUAGACUCAAGCAGUUUGUCUGCUGCAUUUUUUUUGGCAUUAUUUGUUUUGAUUAGUGAACCUCACUGGCAACAUUGGACCGCACCAGCCUCCGACUCCCACCUCUCCAGUUCAGACAGGCUUGGGGUCCAGAACAUUACUGGUACUCAAAAAGAGGCCCCGGAGCAAGCCUCUAAGAACUGAUUUCAAACUCCUGAUGGCCAUCCAAAAAUGCCCCGGAGUUAAACACCUCACAUUCACCUGAGGCUGAACACCUGAACGAGGGGAGCACUCUCAAGAACCGAGUCCGUCUGGCAACAAAGAUUCCAUUUCGGCUCUUCUGUACCGAGUCCAAACUAAAACAGGAUUAGGAAUCCGAUGGAGGCUGUUGACUCUUCUUGCACGUCCCUGCUCACUUUUCUCUCCUCCAGUCUCUCAAAGAAUAUUAUCAAACGUUCUCAUUCUUCCGCUUUGUCUGGCGCUCUUUUUGCUUUCCUUUCCGUUUCAAACACAUGACAGAACAAACUCAGCUGUCAUUUGUAUCAACAGACAUCUCCAGAGUUGUAAGCUUUUCAACCUGUUUGUUGUUUCAGAGAUAGAAAAAAAAAAAAAUUAGAAAUGAUAUAUUAAAUUCCUAUAAAUAUAAAGAUUGAUAUAUA